rnacentral:lncRNA from 1 species
UUCCAUGCUUUAAGCCGAAAGCAUGAGGAGUUGCAGCUGGAGUCAAAGGAUAAAGAUGUUCUUAUUGAACUUCUUGAAAAUCGAGCAGUGAAAAGACAUAGAGAUCCAGAGGGUCCAUCUUCAUCUAGUAUGCCUCAACCUUCCGGUGCUUGGAAGAAGAUUGUUGAUCAGCUUGUCCUUGAGAAGGCUCAUAUGAAGACAUCUUUUGAGACCGAGAUCCGACGCGUCCGAAGGAAGUACAC